UACAGGGGGGGCAAGCGUUGUUCGGAAUUACUGGGCGUAAAGGGCUCGUAGGUGGCCAACUAAGUCAGACGUGAAAUCCCUCAGCUUAACUGGGGAACUGCGUCUGAUACUGGAUGGCUUGAGUUUGGGAGAGGGAUGCGGAAUUCCAGGUGUAGGCGGUGAAAUGCGUAGAUAUCUGGAGGAACACCGGUGGCGAAGGCGGCAUCCUGGACCGACAUUGACGCUGAGGAGCGAAAGCCAGGGGAGCAAACGGG
rnacentral:rRNA from 1 species